AACCGGAUUAGAUACCCUGGUAGUCCAUGCCNUAAACGAUGAGUGCUAAGUGUUGGAGGGUUUCCGCCCUUCAGUGCUGCAGCUAACGCAUUAAGCACUCCGCCUGGGGAGUACGACCGCAAGGUUGAAACUCAAAGGAAUUGACGGGGGCCCGCACAAGCGGUGGAGCAUGUGGUUUAAUUCGAUGCUACGCGAAGAACCUUACCAGGUCUUGACAUCUUCUGCCAACCUAAGAGAUUAGGCGUUCCCUUCGGGGACAGAAUGACAGGUGGUGCAUGGUUGUCGUCAGCUCGUGUCGUGAGAUGUUGGGUUAAGUCCCGCAACGAGCGCAACCCUUAUUGUUAGUUGCCAGCAUUCAGUUGGGCACUCUAGCAAGACUGCCGGUGACAAACCGGAGGAAGGUGGGGAUGACGUCAAAUCAUCAUGCCCCUUAUGACCUGGGCUACACACGUGCUACAAUGGACGGUACAACGAGUCGCGAAACCGCGAGGUCAAGCUAAUCUCUUAAAGCCGUUCUCAGUUCGGAUUGUAGGCUGCAACUCGCCUACAUGAAGUUGGAAUCGCUAGUAAUCGUGGAUCAGCAUGCCACGGUGAAUACGUUCCCGGGCCUUGUACACACCGCCCGUCACACCAUGAGAGUUUGUAACACCCAAAGCCAGUGAGGUAACCUUCGGGGACCAGCCGUCUAANGUGGGACAGAUGAUUAGGGUGAAGUCGUAACAAGGUAACC
rnacentral:rRNA from 1 species